rnacentral:lncRNA from 1 species
UGGGAAGGGCCUUCACACAGAGGCCCGCCCCCAUCUCGCCCCUCCUCGCGGUGCUCCCGACCGCGCAGAGGUCUCUGGGAAAUGUAGUUUUCUUCUGCCUGGAGCUCUGCGCGGGGCGACGCAGCUGGGCUGCAACCCGCUCCUCCAGGGACGGGUAGUGUGACGUUUGGGGUCAGAACGCACCACUUUCGGGCACCCCCACUUAAGAUUGCUCAACUGCUUUGAGCUCAGAAAGCAAGGUGUAAAGGUGGGGGAAAAGCACUUUCGUCUCAGAAUUACAGCUACUGGUAUGGAAAAGCUGGGGCCCUUCGCUGGUGUGAGUCCUAAGGAUGUCUAAAUGGAACGUGCAUCUGCUACAGGCUCGCACUUUCCUUUAUUGCGCUUCCCAGUUAUACUCCACUGUUCUGACCAGAAACCCAAAUACUAUUGACUCAGUUUAACAUUGUGUGUGCAGAAUGCCCUCAUAGAAGCUGAUGAAACACAAUUUGGAUUUUUACAACAGUGAUUUUCAAAGGGGUAAGCAUGAGAGGUGGGAGUGGGGUUCAUGUGCCCCCCCUGAGGGAAGCAUCAGAAUGUGAGGUGGUUGUAACUACAGAAGUUUCUUCUGUUCGCACCAGAGAUGUUAAUAUUUGCUGCCCUUCUAUUCACUGUCUUCUCUUACAGACUUCCUGCUGUUGUAAGCAACCACUACAGAUUUCUCAGAAGUACUGUGGCAAAUAAAAAUGAUUGAGAAUCAUUAUACAUUUUCUAUUCUACUAGAGAGACAGUUUAAAAUAAAAUAGAAUGCUAAGACCACCAUGCAGUGGAAAAGCUCCAUCUACCAGAAGAUGAGAAGCCAUGUGGAGAACUAAGACUUCCCAGCCAAUAGCCAGCACCAACUGCCAGACACGUAAGUGAGGCCAUCUUGAACCCUCCAACCCUAGAUGUAUUCACGGUUCUCCAGAGAAACAGAACCAAUAAGAUGUGUGUGUGUGUGUGUGUGUGUGUUUAUAAAGAUAUUUAUUUUAAGGACUUGACUCACUUGAUUAUAGAGCUUCCAAGUCCAAAAUCUGCAGGGUGGGUUGGCAGGCUGGAGGCCAGGGAAAAGGUGAUGCUACAGUUCAAGUCUGAGAGCCAUCUACUGGCAAAAUUCCUUCUUGCUCAUGGAAGGUCAGUCUUUUGUUCUAUUCAGGCCUUCAGUUGAUUGGAUAAGGCCUACUCACAUUAUGGAGGGCAAUCUGCGUUAUUCAAAGUCCCCUGAUUUGUUACUCAGAGGUGAGAAAAAUCAUGGUGUACUAAAGUCACCACAAAAACUUCUGUAGAUCAUAUGGAGAAGCAGGAGAGAUGAAGCUGGAGAGCAAAGCAGCAAAUCAGCAAUUAAAAAAGAUGUUUGGAGUUGUUGAGUUUGGAGAUGAAAAGUGACAAGAUGAAUUCUGGAUUUUAGACAAAGCAAUCCAACGUGUGGAUGGAGAGGGAUUUGAGAGGAGAAAUCAGCUGUUGUCAGUAAGAGUAUUUAAAUUAGGAUACUGGUAACGGGGAUGGAGAGACACACGAUUAUACAUGGGAAGUGAGAGCAGAAAGAAUUAGGAUUAUUUCUUGAUUUUUUUUUUUUUUUUUU